rnacentral:rRNA from 1 species
GCCUAGUCUUAAACAAAGACGAUAUUUUUUACAACUAUUGUUCGCCAGGGGACAACGAGCCCCAGCUUAAAACCCAAAGGACUUGGCGGUGCUUUAGACCCCCCUAGAGGAGCCUGUUCUAGAACCGAUACUCCCCGUUCAACCUCACCCCCUCUUGUUAUAUACCGCCUGUAUACCGCCGUCGUCAGCCCACCCUGUGAAGGGUAAAUAGUGAGCAGAAUCGGCAAAGCCUAAAACGUCAGGUCGAGGUGCAGCAUACGAGGGGGGAAGAAAUGGGCUACAUUUUCUGACCCAGCAAAUACGGAAGUUGCUCUGAAAAUACACCUGAAGGAGGAUUUAGCAGUAAGGGGCGAGUAGAGUGCCCCCCUGAAACCGGCCCUGAAGCGCGC